GCAAUCCUAAUCCCUCACCAGAGCUUGAAUCACUUUGAGAUUAGGGUUUCACAUUGAAACCCUAAUUCUUCUAAGCUUUGCCUCCUUCACAGGUCCAAGCACCUCGCAUCCACAAAGAUAAAUAAAGAAGAAUCAGAAGAAGAUAUAGGAAAAGAUCCUGAAAAGAGUAGAAUUAGAAGAGAAAAAAGGAGCAAAUUUUACCUUGACUGGAGAACUCCUCCUCUCUGAAGGUUAGAUUUCCGUUAUCUGUGAUUUUUGAUGCGCUUUGAUUGUUUGUUUGUUCGCUUGUAUGAUUUGAAUGGGUUAUGGGUAUAACUGAGGGAUUUUAGGGUUUUGUUUAGGUUUUGGAUAUAUUGUUUAAUUCUGUAUUUUGAACGUUUGAUUAUUUCUAGGAAGGUUAAGAUCUAUAGAUUGUUAAUGUUUGUGUUGUGUUUAUGUUUGGUUUGAAG
rnacentral:lncRNA from 1 species